rnacentral:sRNA from 1 species
GUUUACCUGGGGCCGAGCAGACUAUGGUCAGCUAGGGAGGAAGUUGGAGACUUAUGAAGGCUGGAAACUAGAAAAGCAAGAUUCAUUUCUCCCCUGUUCAAGACCACCGAACAGCAUGCCUUCAUCUCCGCAUUGCUUAACUGGAGCAACUGAGGUCUCUUGUGGCUCAGAGCAUAAUUUGGCAAUAAUUGGUAACUGAGCUGGCCUCCCUGCCCGGGAAGUGGCAUUCGAGCAUAUUAAAGAACUCAGGCUGAGGGGCAUCAUGUGUAGAAAGCCAGACAUAAAAAGGAAGAAUGAUUGGACUGCUUCUGGUUUUUCAAAUAAAUCCCCAUUCUAAGUU